GGAUGUGAGAGCAAUCUGGCUGUGACAUCUGUCACUCAUCCGCUGAUCAGGCUGGCUAGGCAGGUGUCUCCUUCCUCCCUCACUGCUUCAUGUUCGUCCCCCUCCUGAAACUGCACUUGGUCAAAGAGGACGGCCUUCUCCUAACAGCGAUGGGCUGGUUUUCAGACAAGGGUAUAUGAGGAGCUGCACUCCCCUGCUAGAACCUCCAAACAAGUCCUCAAGAAGAUAAAGAGGCCCAGGAGGUGGUGUAGUGGGUAGAGGUUUGGGCAUAAAAGUCUGAGUUCUU
rnacentral:snRNA from 1 species